UACGGGGGGAGCAAGCGUUGUUCGGAAUCACUGGGCGUAAAGGGAGUCUAGGCGGUUUGGUAAGUGGGAUGUGAAAUCCCCGGGCUCACCCCGGGACCUGCAUCCCAAACUGCUGAGCUUCAGUACAGGAGAGGGUGGGGGAAUUCCAGGUGUAGCGGUGAAAUGCGUAGAUAUCUGGAGGAACACCGGUGGCGAAGGCGCCCACCUGGCCUGCUACUGACGCUGAAGCUCGAAAGCUAGGGGAGCAAACGGG
rnacentral:rRNA from 1 species